AUAAGAAGAGGAUAAUGGACUGU
rnacentral:piRNA from 1 species